rnacentral:rRNA from 1 species
UACGUGAGGGGCCUAGCGUUGUCCGGAUUUAUUGGGCGUAAAGAGCUCGAUAGGCGGUUCGGCAAGUCGGAUGUGAAAUCUCCACGCGUCAACGUGGAGGGGCCAUUCGAAACUGCCGUGACUCGAGUCCGGUAGGGGAGUGUGGAAUUCCCGGUGUAGCGGUGAAAUGCGCAGAUAUCGGGAGGAACACCAGUAGCGAAGGCGGACAUCCUGGACCGGCAUUGACGCUGAUGCGCGAAAGCGAUGGGUAGGCAAACGAGGAAUG